rnacentral:tRNA from 1 species
CAAAUUUAAUCUAAUAAUUAGUAAUUCAUUUACAAUGAAUUUUAUAUUGUGUAAAUCAAUAAAAUUUGA